UGGGGAAUAUUGGACAAUGGGGGCAACCCUGAUCCAGCAAUGCCGCGUGUGUGAAGAAGGUUUUCGGAUUGUAAAGCACUUUCGGCGGGGACGAUGAUGACGGUACCCGCAGAAGAAGCCCCGGCUAACUUCGUGCCAGCAGCCGCGGUAAUACGAAGGGGGCUAGCGUUGCUCGGAAUGACUGGGCGUAAAGGGCGUGUAGGCGGUUUGUACAGUCAGAUGUGAAAUCCCCGGGCUUAACCUGGGAGCUGCAUUUGAUACGUGCAGACUAGAGUGUGAGAGAGGGUUGUGGAAUUCCCAGUGUAGAGGUGAAAUUCGUAGAUAUUGGGAAGAACACCGGUGGCGAAGGCGGCAACCUGGCUCAUAACUGACGCUGAGGCGCGAAAGCGUGGGGAGCA
rnacentral:rRNA from 1 species